UACAGAGGGUGCGAGCGUUAAUCGGAAUUACUGGGCGUAAAGCGUGCGCAGGCGGUUUUGUAAGUCUGUCGUGAAAUCCCCGGGCUUAACCUGGGAAUGGCGAUGGAGACUGCAAGGCUAGAAUCUGGCAGAGGGGGGUAGAAUUCCACGUGUAGCAGUGAAAUGCGUAGAGAUGUGGAGGAACACCGAUGGCGAAGGCAGCCCCCUGGGUCAAGAUUGACGCUCAUGCACGAAAGCGUGGGGAGCAAACAGG
rnacentral:rRNA from 1 species